rnacentral:rRNA from 1 species
UACGUAGGGUGCGAGCGUUGUCCGGAAUUAUUGGGCGUAAAGGGCUCGUAGGCGGUUUGUUGCGUCGGGAGUGAAAACACUGGGCUUAACCGAGUGCUUGCUUUCGAUACGGGCAGACUGGAGGUAUGCAGGGGGAGAACGGAAUUCCUGGUGUAGCGGUGAAAUGCGCAGAUAUCAGGAGGAACACCGGUGGCGAAGGCGGUCUCUGGGCAUGUCCUGACGCUGAGGAGCGAAAGUGUGGGGAGCGAACAG